rnacentral:lncRNA from 1 species
CUUCUCAGGACCAAGGUCUGGAUUCAGGCCCCUGACAGGGAGCUAGAGGGAGUCUCCUCUGAGUCACCCCAUAGGCUGACUGGGGAUCUUCAAAACUGCCCCUUCUGCUGGAAGAAUUUGCCUGCACCAGGCUCCCAUCCCUACAGGCUGGGUCCUUGAUGCCCAACUCAGUCUGACAAGACCUGCCUACUCCACAAGGGUCUUCACCCUUAUUCCUGAGCCCUCUUGUCCAGUUGCAAUGUGGGCUUUCUCAUUUCUUGACGUCAACUUUGAUCCCUUGAAGUCCACAGAGCUGAACAACACCCCUGUGUGGGUGGGGAAACUUUGAUAGGUGUGAGCCUCCCAGAGACCAGAGGUCCCUAGUCUGCUGCAGCUGCCCCUGUCUGAGGGUGAGCUAUGCUUGUGGUAGUGUUCCACUAGAGGGACAGGGAGCCACUGAGCCUUCCUGGGAGAGCCAGGCAGAGCAUGGCAGUGGAGACAGAGACCAAGAGGUGGUUACCAAGGUGUAGGGUGACUUCUAAUGCCUGGGGCUGCCUUUCACAUCUGCCACAAAGGGAACAGAGGGGCUGGGGAUGUGGCUCAAGUGGUAACACACUCGCCUGGCAUGCGCGGGGCACUGGGUUCAAUCCUCAGAACCACAUAAAAAUAAAAUAAAGAUGUUGUGUCCACCGAGAACUAAAAAAUAAAUAUUAAAAAAAUUCUCUCUCUCUCUCUCUCUCUCUCAAAAAAAAAAAAAGGGGGGGGGAGGGACAGAAGCCCAGAGCUGGGCCCUAAAAUCAAGCGCCAGAGGACAGAAUGCCCAGUUCAGCCUGUGUAUCUGCUCUACCCACUUCAAGAGACUAUGUUUCCCACUAGAAGCCCCAGCUUUCACCUGCCACUGAAAAGAUUCUUGGAAUCCUACUUUUGUUGGCAAAACUUUGUGGCUUCUCUAGCUUCUCCGAAGGGCCAGAAGCCAAGAAUUCAU